GAACAGCUUUUUGGGGUGCUUCUUGGCCAUUUGUGCAUCUUGUUUGCAGCACUGUCUUUUCAGAUCAGCUUUAAAAGUUGGUUGCAUACUUCCCUUGCUUAGACCAAAUGACAAACCCCACAGCACAGUACCAGGCCUGCACAACAGGGCCUUGUGCCCGUCUUUGAGUGCAUCUGCCCUCACUCUGCUAUGGCCAAGCCGACCUCAAAGCAGCAAGCCCGUUGCUGUGCAAGUCCUUUGCAGGGGGUUUCCCCUACCCCCCACUGCCACCCCAUCCUCCUUUGCAUGGGGAGCAGGUCUGGGGUCAGCCUCAGAAAGAGCUUCCCUGUUCUCUUGGUCUCAAGGGCCUUCCCUGACACCCCCCGCCCCAGGCUUUUUCUAUCCCCUCUCAAGGUUUCUUUUGAGUAUCCUUUUUAGUAUCUUAUAAAAUCCAGAAGAACUGGCCUCCUGUGUGACCCUGGGCAAGUGGCUGCCCCUCUCUGGGUCCCCGCUGCGCCAUCUGAAAACAGACACAGGUAUAUGAGCUGGCUGACCUCAUAGGGCCUUUCUAACUCUGCCCUUCAUUGAUGCCAGCUUCCCUGUGGUAGCUCUGCCAGGAGGCGUCGGCCUGGCGCCAUGGCAGUGAGAGAAAGGUGGCUAGAGCCAAGUUAGUCACGGAUCGUAGCAGGCAGCGUGGCUGAUUAUCACCAGCCCCGUGGGGACAGUCUCCAGGAGCAUGUGGCAGCCAGGAACAGUAGGAAGAAUUGUCAACAGGUCUGCCCAGGUCUCUACCUUGGCCACUUUCAGCUCUAGAGUCACCCACUUUCCCCAGGAGAGUAAUCUUCUAACCUCCAAACCCUCUCUGAGCAUAAGAGCCAUCUGGCCCCCUCACUCAGUCACUUAACAAACACUUCCUGGUGGUCUGCUUGUGCCUAGUCCUGGGUGCUGCCCCGAAGACAUAGAGACAGAUGAGUGCCACCCCUGCCCAAAGACUCAGGUGUCGUGGGGGAGGCAGGCUUGUAGCCAGCAGCAGGACAAAAGCAGCCCUGAAGUUGCGAGUAGACCCUAGAGACUGGAAUACCCACUGCCCUGACGGGGAAGCAGGAGGAUUCUCAGAGCUGGGUAUGGGGGUGAACGGGAGUGCAGCAGGUAGGCAGAGUGUCUGUGUAUUAAAGGCAUAGAAAGAGGUGUGGAGACAUGGCUGCAAAGCCUCCAGGUGUGCUCAGGGCAUUCAGAGCAAUUAGGUUUUGCCUGAGGCUCCGGGGACAGUGGAAGGAGGUAACAGAGGAUUCGAUUUGCUGAGAUCCUGAUCAUGGAAAGCCUGCAGUGCUGAGCAGAAGAGUGUGGACUUAGCCCUGGAGGCUGCAGGAGCCAGGAAGAGAUCGGAGGCUGAGGAUAGAGGCCAUCAGGUUGCACUUUUGAAAAGUGCCCUUUCCCUAAACAGCACAGAGGCCAGGGUGCUGGGGAGCGAAGGGGAGACCAGGCACCCCGUCUGGAUACCCUCGCUCUUUCCAGAUGAGCAGAAAUGAAGGCUGGAGCACUGCCGCUGGAGGGAAGGGGCAGAGCCUAAAGCCGUUUGGCAGACAGAAGCCCCCGAAGGAGAUCGGGGAGUCUAAAUAAUGAACGACACGGGAAAUGCCAAGGCCAGCCUCCCAGGCUGCUGUGAUGGGGAGGCAUGGGAGCUGUGCGAGCUGGCCCGUGAGGGUGGCGUUUUCCUGGUGGCUGAGACACGACCACAGAGGCAGAGGUAGAGGACACUCUGGCCUCUGAAGGCUGUAGGAGUCCCAGCUAUGGCGCCUCUGCCCGUCCCUUCCAGACGCAGAGCACUCACUACCCCGGAGA
ensembl:lncRNA